GCACCCGUAGCUUAAAGGAUAGAGCGUCGGAUUCCGGUUCCGAAGUAUGCAGGUUCAAUUCCUGCCGGGUGCA
rnacentral:tRNA from 1 species